rnacentral:lncRNA from 1 species
CGCAUGCACCUUAGCGGUGCAGGGUCCCCGCAGGAGCACUUGGCCCAGAGCCUGGCCCAGAGCAGGCUUUUAGUAAAAGCUGAGUGAAUGAACUAAUGAUGGAAUGAAUUGCAACUCUCAGCUGAGCCUCAGUUUCUUCAUCUGUAAAAGGUGUGUGACCUCCACCACCAACCAGCUGUGACUGUUGAGUGUUGAGCGGGGAGUAUUACUUGAUUCCCCAGGGCCUCAGCUUUCUGCUCUGUGAAAGGGAGACGGUGAUCUUGCCUGGUCAGCCUGAGAGCUUGUGGGUAGUGAUAAAUGACCAUGGGUGUGGUCACAUUUUUGCAAAGUGUAAAAAGCUACACCCUGGAAUUUAUUCUCCUGAAUCUUUCUCUACAGGACCUGGAACAUGGCAGACAGUCAGUAAGUGCUGGGUCACCUUCAGGCCACCCUGGACCAUCCAGCUCUAGCUAAGCCAUCAGCUGACUACAACUACAUGAAUGAACCCAGGAGAUAAGAGCAGAAGAAUCACCUAGCUGAGCCCAGCCAAACUGCAGCAUAUAGUAUCAUGAGCUAAUAAACAAUUCCUGCUUUAAGCCCUAAGCCCUAACAAUUUGAAGUCCUUGUUACACAGCAAAUACUGUUGCAAACAAUGACGUUUUAAGAAGAGCUGGGAUCGAGCUGGUAUUUAGGAGCAACUGAAACCAGGACUCUCUUGUUCUGUCUCAUGUCUUUCCUAUUUUCUGCACGUUAUCUUCCCUCUCUUUCAUAGCACAUUGAUUUUCUUCAUGGUGCAGAGAAAAAGGUUGAGUUUUAUAGCUUGCAUCUUCAAGAUAAUGGAGAAAAACUGAUUCUGUUUUCUGCAUCUCAGAUCUAAAAAUCCCUGGGAAAAGACUCAUUGGCCCAGCUUAGGUCAAGCCUCCCCUUGGACCAAUCAACUGGUAAUGGAGUAGGGAGGGCACUCCAUCACAACACACACGUUAGAUGACAUAUGAGCAAAACUAUCCCAGGCACUGUUUUAAGGCUUAACAUGUGUUAACUGACUUCAUCCUCAUAAUACAACAAUCCCAUCAGAGCUAUUAUUGUCUCUGUUUUGAAGUGAGGAAACUGAAAACAAGCCACAGAGAGGUGAAGUAACUUGCCCAAGACUACACAGCUAAAAAGAGGUGCAGCCAGGACUUACACCACAGCUAUCUGACUCCAGAAUCCACCCACUUAAUGACCACAGUGGUCUGCCUCUCAUAUUGAGUUCCUGGGGGGUUCCAAUAGAUUGAGGGGUGGGCAGGAUGGAGGCACUCCAAGGAAAUAUCUGGAAUGCUAACUCAGAGAAGGUAAGCCUCUGGGGGCCCUUGAUCUCACUGUCUUCAGGCCUCUAAAUGACUCUCACUAGGCAAUGGCAGUGGAAGGUUCUGGAUCACCUCAGAAAACAAAUCUAGGAUCAGUGGGUGGACACCACUGGAAAGUGGGUUUCAAUUCGAUGGUAGGAAUUUCUUCAGAGUCAGGGAUAUUAGUGCUCAAAGUCACACAACAAGCUGAACUGGGGUUUAAACUUAUGCCUGAAGGAGUGCUGAGGCUUUGCUGUUAACCACUGUGCCCCAUCUUCGUUUCCUUCUCAAAAUGAGGAAAAGAAUAUUGGUGGAGGUGAGGCAGGGAGACACAGGGCCUACAUCUACCCACAUUUCAUUAAAGGCCUGCUGUUUCCCAGCAGAUGGAGGCUGCUUAUGUGAUCAUCUCCAGUUACCCCGUGGGUUUGCCCCGCCCCCUUGGCUGGUGUGUAAAUUCCCUGUGGGGAGAGUCAUGUGCCCUCUUAAAUG